rnacentral:tRNA from 1 species
GAGGUUGUGGCUCAGUGGUAGAGUGCUAGCCUAGCACAUGAGAGGCCCUGGGUUCAAUGCCCAGCACCACA